UUCGCAAUGCCCGAAAGGGUGACGAAGCGACGCCGCGUGGGUGAGGAAGGCCCUCGGGUUGUAAAACCCUGUCAGGAGUUAAGAAAUGUAAGUGCGCUAAUAUCGCAUUUAUUUGACGAAGGCUCCAAAGGAAGCCACGGCUAACUCUGUGCCAGCAGCCGCGGUAAUACAGAGGUGGCAAGCGUUGUUCGGAAUUAUUGGGCGUAAAGAGCACGUAGGUGGGUUUGCAAGUCAGAUGUGAAAGCCUUCUGUUCAACGGAAGAAUUGCAUCUGAAACUGCAAGUCUUGAGUGUAGGAGGGGAGAAUGGAACUUCUGGUGGAGCGGUGAAAUGCGUAGAUAUCAGAAGGAACGCCGGCGGCGAAAGCGAUUCUCUGGCCUAUUACUGACACUCAGUGUGCGAAAGCUAGGGGAGCAAACGGGAUUAGAUACCCCGGUAGUCCUAGCCGUAAACGAUGGGCACUAAGUAGAGGGGUUUU
rnacentral:rRNA from 2 species